UACAGAGGUGCCGAGCGUUAGGCGGAAUCACUGGGCUUAAAGCGUGUGUAGGCGGGCGGGCAAGUACCUUGUGAAAUCCCACGGCUCAACCGUGGAACUGCUGGGUAUACUGCCUGUCUUGAGCCAGCCAGGGGCAGUCGGAACAGACGGUGGGGCGGUGAAAUGCGUAGAUAUCGUCUGGAACGCCAAAGGUGAAAACAGACUGCUGGGGCUGUGCUGACGCUGAGACACGAAAGCCAGGGGAGCGAACGGG
rnacentral:rRNA from 1 species